GGAUUGUGGCUCAGUGAUAGAAUGCUCGCUUAGCAUGCGUGAGGUACUGGGUUCGAUCCUCAGCACCA
rnacentral:tRNA from 1 species